UACGUAGGGUCCGAGCGUUUGUCCGGAAUUAUUGGGCGUAAAGGGCUCGUAGGCGGUCUGUUGCGUCGGGAGUGUAAAACUUACAGCUUAACUGUGAGCAUGCUUUCGAUACGGGGCAGACUUGGAGGCAUUCAGGGGAGAACGGAAUUCCGUGGUGUAGCGGUGAAAUGGCGCAGAUAUCAGGAGGAACACCGAUGGCGAAGGCAGGUCUCGUGGGCCACUACUGCGUGAGAAGCGAAAGCUGGGGAGCGAACAGG
rnacentral:rRNA from 1 species